rnacentral:rRNA from 1 species
GAUGAACGCUGGCGGCGUGCCUAAUACAUGCAAGUCGAGCGAACAGACGAGGAGCUUGCUUCUCUGAUGUUAGCGGCGGACGGGUGAGUAACACGUGGAUAACCUACCUAUAAGACUGGGAUAACUUCGGGAAACCGGAGCUAAUACCGGAUAAUAUUUUGAACCGCAUGGUUCAAUAGUGAAAGACGGUCUUGCUGUCACUUAUAGAUGGAUCCGCGCUGCAUUAGCUAGUUGGUAAGGUAACGGCUUACCAAGGCAACGAUGCGUAGCCGACCUGAGAGGGUGAUCGGCCACACUGGAACUGAGACACGGUCCAGACUCCUACGGGAGGCAGCAGUAGGGAAUCUUCCGCAAUGGGCGAAAGCCUGACGGAGCAACGCCGCGUGAGUGAUGAAGGUCUUCGGAUCGUAAAACUCUGUUAUUAGGGAAGAACAUAUGUGUAAGUAACUGUGCACGUCUUGACGGUACCUAAUCAGAAAGCCACGGCUAACUACGUG